CAGUAGCCGCGGUAAUACAGAGGGUGCGAGCGUUAAUCGGAUUUACUGGGCGUAAAGCGUGCGCAGGCGGUUAUAUAAGACAGAUGUGAAAUCCCCGGGCUCAACCUGGGAACUGCAUUUGUGACUGUAUAGCUAGAGUACGGCAGAGGGGGAUGGAAUUCCGCGUGUAGCAGUGAAAUGCGUAGAUAUGCGGAGGAACACCGAUGGCGAAGGCAAUCCCCUGGGCCUGUACUGACGCUCAUGCACGAAAGCGUGGGGAGCAAACAGGAUUAGAUACCCGAGUAGUCCCUGUCUCUUAUAC
rnacentral:rRNA from 1 species